rnacentral:ncRNA from 1 species
CCCGCGAGAGCAGGUCGCCGCGUGCCGGCCGGGGGACGGAGUGGGAACGGCUCCUUUGGGUGCCUUCCCUAGGCGUCGAACUGUCAGCUCAGAACUGGUACGGACAAGGGGAAUCUGAUUGUUAAAUUAAAACAAAGCAUUGCGAUGGUCCUCGCGGAUGUUGACGCA